GUAGGCAAUUCCGAGCCAUAGGAGUAGCAGUAAAGGGACAGCAAGUGGAAGCCAGGAACAUGUGAAAUGCAUGGGUUUCUGUGAAACAGCAAUUCCUGCAAACACUUCCAAGACUACAGUUCAGUUGCAGUCUUGCAGAUGACACCUAUGUAGGUCAUUGUGGCUAAUUAUAUAUCUGAGAGCUAUUUUCUUUCCUGAAAAGGUGCGAAUAACUGAAUAGCUGGUUACCUCUCUGAGAUGGCAUGAGAUGACAAGAAUUAAUUACACUAAAUACAAGUAAUUUUAACCUUGUUAAGAGCCUACAUGAAAGAUAUAAUGUACAUUGGGACAGUGUAGCAAGUGUAUUUCCAUCAAAGAAGCAUCAAGACCCAAGAAUAUCCUUGACCUUUACGAACAGAUGUUGCUACUGUGGGAAAACUUUCAUCAAUAAAGAGUAAGUAUCAGUUAAGACCUUUCACCCUAACUUCAUUUAU
rnacentral:lncRNA from 1 species